rnacentral:lncRNA from 1 species
UCGCUCUCAUCGCAACAACGCACAAAUCUCCCCAGGCCGCGACGAAAUUUCCAUUCGCUGGCUCGCAGAUCCCCAGCGGGUCGAAUUCCCACUCGGCUCUCCGCCUGCGCAAUCAUUCCAGAGACUGCAGUGACAAUUAAGCCAACAGCCAGGGAUCAAAAUGCCCUACCUGGAAGAACAAGGAGAAGAAGAAAUCUUUACGGACAUGGCUGCCCGAGCUCCGCGGAGGCGCCUGGAAUCCACUCGUACCACUGCAUUCCUCCAUCCCCAAUCGCGCGGCUG